rnacentral:misc_RNA from 1 species
GAUUAUUAAGAACUUGCACAUCACAUUUAUGAAGAGGAGGAAUGUGCCAAACAAAGUAAAAGAUGUGACACAAUGAGGAUCGCGACGAAUCUUGUUCUACAAAACAGCCAGUCAGUUGCAAACAAAUUAAGAUGAAAACCACUUCCUUUAUAUCCAGUUAUAAUCAAUGUCUACUUUUAUUCAAACUUCAGAAAGAAAAAGGUCUGGUAUAUACAUCAAAUGGCUGGCAGGCAGUCAAUUGUGGCUCCUGUCUCAGUCCCCCACCAAUACUGCCUCCUGUCAAAAGCAUGGUGAGAAGAGAUGUCACAGCCCCACCGCCAAGGUCAUUACCAGUAUUUCGGAUGGCAGCACGCAUUGAAUUGAGAAUGCUCCCAUAUGUAGUCCCUUGUCCACGCUCAAUGGCUUGGAUGAAGCAAUAAGUCAUUGCACCUGUAGAUGUUAUCUUUGAUAGAGCCUAUUCCAUAAGAAAAGAUGAAAAUUUUAAUUUUACUUGAGAGCCAAAACCCAUGGGAAAUAUAAAUUUUUCAUUGAUGUUGUAUCAAACCCAGAGAGAAAGAAAGGAAUUCCUCUUGAAACUUACAGAUGUAUCAGCAGAGGUUUGAUCGUCAUCACAACCGCUGAAGGAAAUGACUUCUCCACCACUUGCUCCUUUCCACAUGCCAGAUCGCGGACGAUGGUCCUCCCAUUUAUAUUGUCCACUCCUAUAGCAAGAAAGCAAGAUAUGAUCAGAACAAGGAAUUUAGCAUUCCAAAAUUAUUUCAAACAAGAAAUACAUAGACAAUAUAAUAAAAGAAGAAAUGAGACAACAGGCUGUUUAUUAAGACAAUCUAUCCAUACUGGAAAUUUAAAAAUCAACUUAUACAUGGUUACAUUUAUACGAAACUUCUAAUUAAAGAUAUAGGCUGAAUUAAUCAGGAAUCAAAUAGAUAUAUAGGAUGAAUUUGUCAAAUAUCACAUAGGGACAGAAUCCACAAAAAUACAUAAACUUAGGUAUUUAUUGAGUUCCAUAAGAUACAGUACAUUGCUUCAGAAACUAGAAGUUUUCCCAAUGCAAAAGCAUGGUUGCAACAAUUUGUUAAAUAUAAAUGACACCAUUUCAUUAUAGGUUCAAAAGUGCUGAAAUGUUCCUUUAGUCUCUCCAUGUAAAGUUCACCCCAAACUACAAUGUGAGCAAUGAAUUUAAAUCAAAAUUUAAUAAUAUUUCUCAUAAAAACUAACCUGUUCAUUCUGCAAAGGAAGGGUAAAUCCAAUACUGUACCACUAUGGCAAGCAUCAAUUAUCGCAUGAAGCUUAACACCAUGAGGAAGAGGUCUGACAAUUGUUGCAUUGAUUUCAUCAUCAACAAUCAUACCUUGAGUUUCAAAGUCUAGUGGGCAUAGAGUUUCAUCAUAUCCAUCAACUUCAUCACCAUUAUAGUUUCUUUGCCGUGAACCAUGCCCUGAAUAAUGAAAAAGCAGGGAAUCUCCAGAUUGACAACCUUGUACAAGCCAGUAUAAUGCCAUUCUCAUGUUCUGUUUAGUGGGAAUUCUGUAGGGAUCAGUUUCCUCUUC